rnacentral:tRNA from 1 species
GCCUGGAUGGCUCUAAUGGUGGGGCACCUGACUUAGGCUCAGGUCAUGAUCUCGCAGUUCAUGGGUUCGAGCCCAGUGUCGGGCU